AGUAACAGCACCUGUUUACCCAGAUCGCACAGCUCUAUCGUCGUGUAUAUCAACGUCGAAAUAAUGGACAACUUCCUCGCCAAGUACCUUCUUAUGGGACUUGCUGCUGCAGUCGUUACGCUUAUCACGGCCCCCUACAGUGCCGAAGCAUUUCCUGCUGGAGCAAUCGAGGCUGCUGCAAAGGCACUUGAAAACGUGUUUGGAAGAAAAGAGGAAAAUGCCGAGAAGUGAUAUGUCUGGCUUCGCGCCACAAUGCGGCUAUUAUGCGAUGCAAUAAAAUACGACCUUGAUAAAGUUCAAUAAAUAAAUAAAUAAA